rnacentral:rRNA from 1 species
UAGGGAAUCUUCGGCAAUGGGGGCAACCCUGACCGAGCAACGCCGCGUGAGUGAAGAAGGUUUUCGGAUCGUAAAGCUCUGUUGUAAGAGAAGAACGUGUGUGAGAGUGGAAAGUUCACACAGUGACGGUAACUUACCAGAAAGGGGCGGCUAACUACGUGCCAGCAGCCGCGGUAAUACGUAGGUCCCGAGCGUUGUCCGGAUUUAUUGGGCGUAAAGCGAGCGCAGGCGGUUUAAUAAGUCUGAAGUUAAAGGCAGUGGCUUAACCAUUGUUCGCUUUGGAAACUGUUAAACUUGAGUGCAGAAGGGGAGAGUGGAAUUCCAUGUGUAGCGGUGAAAUGCGUAGAUAUAUGGAGGAACACCGGUGGCGAAAGCGGCUCUCUGGUCUGUAACUGACGCUGAGGCUCGAAAGCGUGGGGAGCAAACAGG